UACGUAGGGUGCGAGCGUUAAUCGGAAUUACUGGGCGUAAAGCGUGCGCAGGCGGUUCGUUGUGUCGGCGGUGAAAGCCCCGGGCUUAACCUGGGAAUGGCCGUCGAAACUGGCGAACUGGAGUGUGGCAGAGGGGGGGUGGAAUUCCGCGUGUAGCAGUGAAAUGCGUAGAGAUGCGGAGGAACACCGAUGGCGAAGGCAGCCCCCCUGGGCUGACACUGACGCCUCAGGCACGAAAGCGUGGGGAGCAAACAGG
rnacentral:rRNA from 1 species